rnacentral:lncRNA from 1 species
CUGUAUCUUUUUAUUUUUUAGUCUUCAAGCAAAGUCAUCAGAAUUUUUAAAAAACAAGUUCAAACACAGUUUUUUAAAAAAAACAAAUAAAACAAAACCUAUUCGUGAUUUUGGGAGGUUUUUUUUGGUAGUGGUUGAGGUUCGAAUUGUAGUCUCAUGUCGAGGUUUGAUUGGUAUGGCGGUUGCCUCGAUUUUUGCAGAAUCUUUUGCUAUGGCAGGUGUACAAGCCCAAAUAUGCCGGGGCCCAAGAAAAUAAAUAUGCCCAAACAUGCCCAACCCACUAAACCUGGCCCAAACAAAAAACAAAAUAACAGAAACCCUAGGAGCCUAUUUGCUUCAGCACUGCCGCAACUCACCCUCGCACACUGCCGCGAAUCUCGCGCCACGACCCUCCCCAACAUGCACCGCUCCAUGCGCUAGCAAUACCUACAGCAACAAACGCAAAACAAAACAUCAAAAAAAAUGGAACAAAAACAACAAUAUGCCAACGAAAAAUAGGAGAUUUCUUUGGAUUUGGGUUCAUUUUUUCCCAUUUUCGGCUAUUUAAAGCCAUUAUCGAAUCUGUAAAAAGGAGGGGGAUUACAGUUUAGAUACGAAAAACAGAGAGAAAAUAGAGAUUUACUUAUUGAUUUCCGAAUACAAAAGGUGGUUUUUUUGGAGUUUUUUUAUUCCUAGUUUCGUUUUGUUUUCUUUUUUCUCUUUUAGUUUUUUUAUUUUAUUUUAUUUUUCAUUUAAAACAAAGAAAGGAAAAGACUUACCUGGUCGCCGGAGUUGUCGAGCCAGUGUCUUCUCCGGCGAAAUCGGGGCAUGGGGCACUAGGCUCGAACGGUGGCGCAAUGAGGGAGGGGGUUAAAAAAACCCCUAGCAGACCACUGUUCUUUAACACAAAAAAAACAAGCAGAAUUUUUUUUUAAGGUUUUGGCUAACUUAAAGAAGAAACGAAAACGGCGUAGUUUUGCCUAUACCAUCCGCCUUUUUAUUUU